rnacentral:ncRNA from 2 species
UCGAAUAAUCAAUUUCUCCUUCGUAUAUUUUCGACAAUAUGGGUCGAAAGUUUCUACCAAAUCACCGUAAAUGAUUGGACUAUGAGGGCAGGUUCUUAUGUA